GUGAAUCAUCGAAUUUUUGAACGCAAAUUGCACUCUCCUCGGAGAGUAUGCCUGUUUGAGGGUCAGCCUAUAAAAAUUCACCGUGGUGCCUGUUUCGCGGUGACAUUCGUCGGAAAUGGGGUCAUCUUAAACCUUUUGGUUUUAGAGGCUUAUAAAAUUUUUUUUGUUGAUUCAACGAUUCUUAGAA
rnacentral:misc_RNA from 1 species